GUGACGUCAGAAGAACGGUGAUGUCUCACCGAACUCGUUAACGAGAACAGACAGUGCUUCUUUGCUUCUGACGGUUGACUUCGGGUGUUUGUGCACCUAGCAUCAGAUUUGCCUUGUGUGUUUGUGGGCGUGGAUAGCGGCUACAACACCACUUGAAGCUUCAGGAACAAGCGCUAUAGCAACAGCACAGCGAAGUGUCCUUGGAAAGGUAACAUUGACGGAAACUCGAUGAUCACUCGAUCCGUGGCCUCUAAGAUCCGACGGAGACAGCGCCCCCCCCCCCCAAAUCUCGGAGGCCACGAUCACUGGUAUGCAAUAUAUACGUACAGACGGAAUGACACUUGUUUAGAGUUAGUAUAUAGAGUGGUCGAAUGGACGGCUAUAGGGACUGUGGCAGCUUCCGUAGCUGCCACAUCGCGGUAGGUUCCACAUGUUUCUCUUAUAGCCCAGGGACCCAGCCUGCGACGUGACCACGCGUGGUGUCAGUGCGGCGUGGGCCUGUGUUUUUUUCUUUUUUUUUUCUUUGUGCGAUAAAAUGGCGGUCAACUUGGCCGACUGACCAUUCAAGGCAAGUGCGAUUCCAAUCUGUGCGGAGAGUCGUUGACACCGGCAACGUGACGCCUGCCGUGUAAGCUAGAUUCGUCGGUGUCCGUUAUGAGCGCAAUGCGCGAGGGGAGACAGACCGCGGAUCGCGGUUAUCGCACUCACGAAGUGUAAGAUUACCAAGCGUGACUCCACCCACGAUGAGACGCAGAAGGAGCGGUCGUCGUUAUCAGUUCAAUCUUAUUCAUCUUACGUUAUGUCGGGCGGCCACCGCCGAGCGUUUAUCUCGGGCGCGUGAAACUGAGCAGGCGCGACUUCCGCACUUCCGAAGCUUCUAUCACGUCUCUUAUACUGGGUGUUUCAAAGUUCUCCAGACCGUGCUACAAAACAUUGAGUCCCUGAGGAACAUUACCAGAGGGAACGCGCUGGCC